CUUCGCUGCUGCGCUUGCCCAUACUCCAGAGUCCAGCCGACCCGACCCAAACCUCACCGCCGCCGUCGCCGUUGCCGCCGCCGCCGCCGCGUGCGCCCCUGCGGAAAUCUAGGGUCCUCGGCGGCGUCCCCCUCGCUCCGCCCCCGCGUUCUCUGCGGCGGCCUGAGCGACGCGCCGACCGGCCGAAGGCUCCGCGUUGAGCUGGCCAUGCAGGUGGUGGGGACGGCCGCCGCGUUCUCGCCGGCGGUGACGCCGUCUCCGGCGAGGAGGCGGGCCGUGGAUUCAGGGAGGAGGUUUUCUCGAAGCUGUCGGUCGGGGAGAGUUUCAGUCUCAGCAGUUGGGUACUCCCAAUUGGAGGUCAGAAGAGUUAGCUAUCGACCUCCAGGAACCGAACAAAACUUGUUGAAUGAAAUUAGCCUCAAUCUUAAGGAGAAAAGUUUUGGAUUACUUUUUGGACGAAGCGGGAGCGGAAAAACUACUCUUUUGCAGCUUUUGGCAGGUCUAUCGGAACCUACCCAUGGGACAAUUUGCAUACAGAAGUACAACGAUAGUGGAAAUCCUAUGGGUCCACCAGAAUUAUUAACUGCUCAAAGAGUUGGUAUCGUGUUUCAGUUUCCUGAGAGGUUUGAGUUGCCACUUUCACCAUUAAGUAAUAUAAACUCAAUAAGUUUGUAUAUGGUCAGUUGAAAUGUUUAAACUGUUCCAGUAAACAAUAAGAUCGUUUACAUAUCUCAUGUAGGUACUUCUUAGCAGAUACUGUGCUUGAGGAAAUUACUUUUGGAUGGCCACGGCAAAAUACAGACUUUCUUUUUAGGGAGAAGCUUGCUUUAAAACUUCAAAAUGCCAUUAACUCGGUUGGUCUGAAUGGCAUUUCAUUGGAAGAAGAUCCACAAUCUCUAAGUGGUGGGUUUAAACGGCGACUUGCUUUGGCAAUUCAACUGGUCCAAACUCCUGAUCUAUUAUUGCUUGAUGAGCCUCUUGCUGGUCUUGAUUGGAAAGCUCGUGCUGACGUUGUGAAUCUUCUCAAGGACCUAAAGAAGGAUCAUACUAUACUGGCUGUAAGUCAUGACCUAAGGGAAUUGUACCCACUAGUUGACCGCUCAUGGAGAAUGGAAAUGGGGGGAGUUUUGAAGGAAGAAGCUUUAUCUGUGUAAGGAUGCUUCUGUUUGUACUGUCAAUCAAGCUGGCACUGUAUACUAGCUGUCUCCAGAUCAGGAGCAAGCAAAUGCAAGCAGAACUUCAAUGGAGAGAUAAUUGAUUUUUCUCCAAAUUCCCACCGCUGGAACGAAGAAACAAUGUCUGAUGCAGAUUUUUGCCUGGGUAAGGGUAAGAUGCCUGUCUGCCAGGUAGCUGAAUUCCAACUCCAGAACUGCAUAAGCCAUUCCUCCGGGACAGGGUUCUGCAAAAAAAUGCAGGGUUCGCAUAAAAACCUGUAUAAUUUGGAAUGCAGAGCAAAACAACACUGAACAUCACACUGACAUUUAUGCUGAAGAGGAGCUAACUGAUUGUGCUACUGUUAGGAAACAUAAAAAACCUUGUUCUACUGCCUGACUAUUCCAUUCGCGUAUGUACAACCCGUUCUCCUCCAGAUUUCUUUGAUCUGUUCUAUAUUGUACUAAAUAAUGCAUGAAUCCUUAUUUUCGUGCUUCCCUCCAUUUGUGUGAUGUCUGUUGAAAUGUCCCAUUCAUGCAACGAUGUUACGGAUAUCAUAACAUAAUAUAUUUCCACCAUAAUCCAGGAAAUAGGUACACCUUGUGGUCAACAAAUUCUGUUCCCACUGUGAAUUCAUGCAUACCAUUCCUGAUCUUGUGUGCUAUAUGUAACGUGUUUUUGGGAAAGAAUUGACAUUUCUGUUGUACUGUAAAUUGCAUUUACUCUACUUAUGGACCACAUAUAUAUAUGAGCAUUUGCAAUUCUCAAGUCAGGGAGUAUCACUUUUCCAUCCCUUCUAGACUACAAUGGUCACUUUCACAGCUCAUCCCUUUACUCAUAUAUUCCAACCUUUGUAAACCCCACGUGUUUGGAGUCCCUGUCACCACCUGCCAGAAGGGACUUAUGUAUGCAAUGCAAGAACAAGUCAAGGCUGCAAAAAUGCUAAACAAGUGAUCUUAUCCAAAGAAGGCUCCAGGAAGGUGAGAAGGUUGGAAGGAUUUUGGUAGGUUGGGGUCAUUCUCUGAUCUGAAUUGUGGUGUCAGUUUUUCCAUCAUGAAAGGACCAUCUACCUGUUGGUAUAAUUUAUGGGUUUUUUUCCCCUUUGCUUCUUCCUAUUGUCUGCUCAUCAGUCUUGCAAUAUGUCGACAUCGGUCAUCACACAUGGAGCUAUGUAGGUGACCUGGACCUUCUCAAAGGGAAACACUAAUGGUGACUGAACUUCUGAGGGUAGGAAUGCAUGUCUGAAUUUCCUGUCCAUGCAUUUAUUUUGUUGGAAGGUUUGUAGGCCGUUUCCCAUAUUCCUGCAUGAACUGAAUUGCUUUUUAAAAAAUUCUUAUGUUCCUAUACUUGCAGUAGAAACAGACAUUCUGUGUGCAGCUAAUGUUGGACAGUAAUAUUUGGUGGUGAAAAGCAUUAAUGUGACACUAAUAACGUGCCCCUGGGGUCGACUACUUAUAUUUGGAUCAGUGUUAAUGUCUAGCUGACAAUCUUUGCAAUUGUAUAUUAGGCUAAUUAAAUAUACCGUUGUAUAUAGUAAGAUUUUUUACGGUAGAAGUACCUCCAUACUAGAGAGCUAAAAAGUACUACAAUUUAUGCCUGAGACUAUGUUCAACAAUACCUAGGUUAUAUGUACCUUAACAUGUAUUUGUCUCUGUUUGCUGAGGAAACAGAAAUCAUUAAGAUGAUCUUUGUUCACCCAUUAAUUUGUCCCUAGCAGCGUUUUACACUUCAGAAUGCAAAUAACUCUUCGGGUGGUACUGAAAAUUUGAAAUUUACAAUAUAUUUUCACUAAAUUUGAACCUUUUUUUUUUGCUCAACUCAAACAAAUUUUUUUGGCCAAAGGCACAUCCUACCAGUAGGCCAGAAAUUUCAUUCCAAAAUUGUGAACACCCGGUCGAAUUUCCAUUUGUUUCAUCUUAGCCCUCAAGAGUUCCUGUUCACUUCUCUCCAUUGCCCCUACUUUUAGGACAUCAUUCCAUUGUAUAUACUGUACUAUUUUUAAUUUGCAAACUCCCACAGCAAGGCUUUUCAUCUAUUAGUAUGAUAGAAUGUGUGAAAUCACAAUAAUUUGUUUUCGGUUAUGGUAUGAGUAUAAUUACCUACCUACAAAACCUACGCAUAUAUCCAACAC